rnacentral:rRNA from 1 species
CCUACGGGCGGCAGCAGUGAGGAAUAUUGGUCAAUGGUCGCAAGCCUGAACCAGCCAAGUAGCGUGAAGGAUGACUGCCCUACGGGUUGUAAACUUCUUUUAUAAAGGGAUAAAGUGCGUCACGUGUGCUUUUUUGUAUGUACUUUAUGAAUAAGGAUCGGCUAAUUCCGUGCCAGCAGCCGCUGUAAUACGGCGGAUCCGAGCGUUAUCCGGAUUUAUUGGGUUUAAAGGGCGCGUAGAUGGGUUGUUAAGUCAGUUGUGAAAGUUUGCGGCUCAACCGUAAAAUUGCAAUGGAUACUGGCAGUCUUGAGUACAGUUGAGGUAGGCGGAAUUCGUGGUGUAGCGGUGAAAUGCUUAGAUAUCACGAAGAACUCCGAUUGCGAAGGCAGCAUACUAAACUGCCACUGACAUUGAUGCUCGAAAGUGUGGGUAUCAAACAGGAUUAGAUACCCGGGUAGUC